GGGGCGGUGGUCUAGACCGGCUAUGACGACUCGCUUACACCGAGUAGGUCACGAGUUCAAGUCUCGUCCGCCCCACCA
rnacentral:tRNA from 1 species